rnacentral:lncRNA from 1 species
AGGCCAAGACUAUUGAUUUUUUUAUAUUGAUUUUAUCUAAUUGUUAAAACCCUACAUGCGCAUAAGGUACCAUACCACGUAACUUGUCAAGACGCCAAAUAAUAUUGAACAAAUUCAAAUGGGAUGUUGUUUUUCUCAUUUUGAAUAUAUGUAUAUCUGUAUUUGACCUGGUCUUUUAAGGUUUAAUUGUCGAUAAGUUAAGAUAAGAUAAGAUAAGAU